AGGCUGAAAAAGAACAACCAGAUAGGAUACCAUCAGAUGUAUGCCAAGAAGGUUCUAUAUACCACCAUUAUCUAAAAAAGAAGGUUCUAUACCUACCACAACAACAAAUAUUACAAUGGAAAUAAAAAGAGUGAUAGUACAGAUGUUUUCCUCGAAAAUAGGCCAUCUUUAGUAUGUGAAUAAAAAGGCUCAAUGCACUAGGCUACCGCUGUACGUGGAGUCCGGAAAAGGGCCGGAACACAAAUGUCUUCAAUAUGUGAAUGAACUUCACAAAUAUGUAGGGCAACACUGCAGGUGUUAAAACCAAAAGAUCUGAACUACCUCCUUUAAGCAUAUUUUAUUAGCGGGAUGGACAUCACCUUUGUUUUCACACAAAAAAAGACAUUGUUUACCAGAAAUGAAUGCUUACUUUGUCGAAGUCGCUGCUUUGAUAAGCCUUCUCCAUGUCCCUGCAUAAUUCCGUCAAACGUCAGAACCAAUAUCACUCAAUUGAAUAAGGUAAAUUAAAACCUUGUUAAAGUCUGGCCUUUCUGCACUAUUUUAGGUAACCUCUUUCAGGUAGUAAUAUAGGCAACAUUCGGUAUCUAUACAUCAUUUCGUUUCACCUACUUCCUGCGCUUCUUCUCUUUUUCACUUUUAUAAGGCCUUACCUACGACUACACCAUUCGAGGAAAUAAGAGACAAAGGGGGAACAAAACUUAGAUAAAGAUCAGAAGGUGAAAAGUCGACCACGCACACACAUGCAUUAUGAGUCGAUGUAAUCAUGAACAGAAUGUUUCGAUGAGAUAUCUUUGGACUCAGAUAGAGAAAAUGAUCGACCCUGUGAUGGAGUUUUCGGGGCCAAAAGUAGGUUUAGAGGAAAGUUUCGGUUGGGAGAAUUUAAACGAAAAGAGAAAAGGGGGUUU
rnacentral:lncRNA from 1 species